rnacentral:rRNA from 1 species
GGCGGACGGGUGGGUAAUGUCUGGGAAACUGCCCGAUGGAGGGGGAUAACUACUGGAAACGGUAGCUAAUACCGCAUAACGUCGCAAGACCAAAGAGGGGGACCUUCGGGCCUCUUGCCAUCGGAUGUGCCCAGAUGGGAUUAGCUAGUAGGUGGGGUAACGGCUCACCUAGGCGACGAUCCCUAGCUGGUCUGAGAGGAUGACCAGCCACACUGGAACUGAGACACGGUCCAG